rnacentral:rRNA from 1 species
UACGGGGGGAGCAAGCGUUGUUCGGAUUUACUGGGCGUAAAGGGCGCGUAGGCGGCCACCGCAAGUCGACUGUGAAAUCUCCGGGCUUAACCCGGAAAGGUCAGCCGAUACUGCGGGGCUAGAGUGCAGAAGGGGCAACUGGAAUUCUCGGUGUAGCGGUGAAUGCGUAGAUAUCGAGAGGAACACCCGCGGCGAAGGCGGGUUGCUGGGCUGACACUGACGCUGAUGCGCGAAAGCUAGGGGAGCGAACGGG